CUUCUUCGGGGAUGGGUGCAAUUCCCUACCGGCGGUACAGCCCGCGAACUGAACCAUGGUUCAGCCGACUCGGUGAGAUUCCGGGGCCGACAGUAUAGUCUGGAUGAGAGAAGA
rnacentral:ncRNA from 1 species